rnacentral:rRNA from 1 species
UCCCGUACUUCUUAUAACUGCGAUGGAGAGACGGAGAAGGCUAGGCCUACCGGGCGUUGGUUGUCCCGGGGAAAGGCAGUAGGCUGGGAUCUUAGGCAAAUCCGGGAUCCUAAGGCUGAGAGCCGAGACCAUUGGGGCUUUGUCCCCGAGAAGUGGUUGAUGCCCUGCUUCCAGGAAAAUCUUCUAAGCUUCAGGCUAUUCGAGACCGUACCCCAAACCGACACAG